UCGCCCCUAGCUCAGUUGGUAGAGCAAUGGACUGUUAAUCCAUCUGUCGCCAGUUCAAGCCUGGCGGGGCGAG
rnacentral:tRNA from 1 species